CCUACGGGAGGCAGCAGUGAGGAAUAUUGGUCAAUGGACGAGAGUCUGAACCAGCCAAGUAGCGUGAAGGAUGACUGCCCUAUGUGUUGUAAACUUCUUUUAUAAAGGAAUAAAACGAGGCACGUGUGCCUUUUUGCAUGUACUUUAUGAAUAAGGAUCGGCUAACUCCGUGCCAGCAGCCGCGGUAAUACGGAGGAUCCGAGCGUUAUCCGGAUUUAUUGGGUUUAAAGGGAGCGUAGAUGGGUUGUUAAGUCAGUUGUGAAAGUUUGCGGCUCAACCGUAAAAUUGCAAUUGAUACUGUCAGUCUUGAGUACAGGUGAGGUAAGCGGAAUUCGUGGUGUAGCGGUGAAAUGCUUAGAUAUCACGAAGAACCCCGAUUGCGAAGGCAGCUUACUAAGCUGUGACUGACAUUGAGGCUCGAAAGUGUGGGUAGCAAACAGGAGUAGAUACCCGAGUAGUC
rnacentral:rRNA from 1 species